UACAGAGGUCCCAAGCGUUGUUCGGAUUCACUGGGCGUAAAGGGUGCGCAGGCGGCCGUGUGUGUGAGGCGUGAAAGCCUGGAGCUUAACUCCAGAAUUGCACCUCAAACUACACGGCUAGAGCAUUGGAGAGGGUAGCGGAAUUCACGGUGUAGCAGUGAAAUGCGUAGAUAUCGUGAGGAACACCAGAGGCGAAGGCGGCUACCUGGACAAUUGCUGACGCUCAGGCACGAAAGCGUGGGGAGCAAAAGGG
rnacentral:rRNA from 1 species